rnacentral:rRNA from 1 species
UGAGUUUGAUCCUGGCUCAGGACGAACGCUGGCGGCGCGCCUAACACAUGCAAGUCGAACGGAGAGACGGGGAACAGCGACUUCGGUCAAAGGGAACCGGAUCUUAGUGGCGAACGGGUGAGUAACGCGUGAGUAACCUGCCUCGUAGAGGGGGACAACAGUUGGAAACGACUGCUAAUACCGCAUAAGCCCACACUACCGCAUGGUAGAGUGAGAAAAGGGAUUACCGCUAUGAGAUGGACUCGCGUCUGAUUAGCCAGUUGGCGGGGUAACGGCCCACCAAAGCGACGAUCAGUAGCCGGACUGAGAGGUUGAACGGCCACAUUGGGACUGAGACACGGCCCAGACUCCUACGGGAGGCAGCAGUGGGGAAUAUUGCACAAUGGGGGGAACCCUGAUGCAGCGACGCCGCGUGGAGGAAGAAGGUAUUCGUAUUGUAAACUCCUGUCGUGUGGGACGAAGGAUGACGGUACCACACAAGAAAGCACCGGCUAACUACGUGCCAGCAGCCGCGGUAAAACGUAGGGUGCGAGCGUUGUCCGGAAUUACUGGGUGUAAAGGGAGCGCAGGCGGUCGUUUAAGUUGGGUGUCAAAUUUACGGGCUCAACCCGUAAUCGCACUCAAAACUGAGCGACUUGAGUGAAGCAGGGGCAGGCGGAAUUUCCGGUGUAGCGGUGGAAUGCGUAGAUAUCGGAAGGAACACCAGUGGCGAAGGCGGCCUGCUGGGCUUUAACUGACGCUGAGGCUCGAAAGCAUGGGUAGCAAACAGGAUUAGAUACCCUGGUAGUCCAUGCCGUAAACGAUGAUUACUAGGUGUGGGGAGGAAACUUUCCGUGCCGGAGUCAACACAAUAAGUAAUCCACCUGGGGAGUACGACCGCAAGGUUGAAACUCAAAGGAAUUGACGGGGGCCCGCACAAGCAGUGGAGUAUGUGGUUUAAUUCSAAGCAACGCGAAGAACCUWRMCAGGUCUUGACAUCGGAUGCAUAGCAUAGAGAUAUGUGAAGUUAUCCUUCGGGAUGACAUCCAGACAGGUGGUGCAUGGUUGUCGUCAGCUCGUGUCGUGAGAUGUUGGGUUAAGUCCCGCAACGAGCGCAACCCUUACCCUCA